rnacentral:rRNA from 1 species
CCUACGGGGGGCUGCAGUGGGGAAUAUUGGACAAUGGGCGAAAGCCUGAUCCAGCCAUGCCGCGUGUGUGAAGAAGGCCUUCGGGUUGUAAUGCACUUUCAGUGGGGAAGAAAGCCUUGGGGCUAAUACCCUCGAGGAAGGACAUCACCCACAGAAGAAGCACCGGCUAACUCCGUGCCAGCAGCCGCGGUAAUACGGAGGGUGCGAGCGUUAAUCGGAAUUACUGGGCGUAAAGCGCGCGUAGGCGGUCUGAUAAGCCGGUUGUGAAAGCCCCGGGCUCAACCUGGGAACGGCAUCCGGAACUGUCAGGCUAGAGUGCAGGAGAGGAAGGUAGAAUUCCCGGUGUAGCAGUGAAAUGCGUAGAGAUCGGGAGGAAUACCAGUGGCGAAGGCGGCCUUCUGGACUGACACUGACGCUGAGGUGCGAAAGCGUGGGUAGCAAACAGGAUUAGAUACCCGGGUAGUC